rnacentral:lncRNA from 1 species
GGCUGACUCAACAUAGUAGCGAAACCUUGAUGUGUCACAUAAAUAUAGGCAUUAAAUGGCUGUGCCAAAACUUUCUUAAUUCUAUAAGAUUGAAGAAAACUUAGGGUAAGUGUGGUUCGGAAUCUUGACAAACUUUUGAGUAAGCUUGUUUGUAACUUCAAAUGAUGACCACACUGCGAACAUUUUACAUGAGGGGAAUGAGGCAACAGUCAAAUCUAAGACCGAUGGUCUUGAAAAUCCGUAGUAAGAUGGGCACAAGGAUAAAUCUAAUAUUGGAAUGACAACACAGUCGCCGCCACAGGUUACUUCCAGAACUAAUGAGGUACACCGAUUGUGCUUUGAUUUGUACAAAUAACAUAUUACAAAUAACAAAAAGAUUAAAACUAAAAUACUCAAAAUAACAGAAGCGUGUACCCAUGAAAAUUCUGAUGAGAAAAAUGACUUAACUCUAUCCAUAAUAUCAUCUUGCUCCAUUUUAGGAAGCUGAGUGGGUUUUACAUAAAUAAAAGAAGGUACACUCUGAGACUUGGUGUGUGACAUUUGUUGCAUAAUUGUCAUGGUCAUUGCUAUCUUUCUUGUUUUACAAAAUAAAAAUGCGAAAGCGAAAAGUGAAAGAAUAGCAAUGCCAAGUGAACAAAAACUAACAAUAGUAUUUGUAUCCAGCCAAGAAGACUGCAAGCUUAUAUCUCCAGACAACAGGGGUUCAGUUAAAGUUUUAAAAAUCAUUUUAUCCUUUUUAGCAGCAACAGCUAUUUUCUUUAAAC